rnacentral:sRNA from 1 species
GGCCGGAAGAUUAAUUCAUGGAAGAUUCAUUCAAGAGCCAAUUCCUAGGAUAAGCUCAAUGGAUUGCAUGUAGUUUCGCGCACGGAAGUGAAUGUUUUUUACUUUUCCAGUUCAGCAAUAAAGGAUUUCCAAUAUUUGAUGGCAGUAUCGUUAUUUUGUUGGUAAUCGUUUUUUACAACAAUAAUGAAUAAAAGGCAAAUUGUGCGAUAAACGGCCCUGUGAA